rnacentral:rRNA from 1 species
UACGUAGGGUCCGAGCGUUGUCCGGAAUUACUGGGCGUAAAGAGCUCGUAGGUGGUUUGGCGCGUUGUUCGUGAAAACUCACAGCUCAACUGUGGGCGUGCGGGCGAUACGGGCAGACUGGAGUACUGCAGGGGAGACUGGAAUUCCUGGUGUAGCGGUGGAAUGCGCAGAUAUCAGGAGGAACACCGGUGGCGAAGGCGGGUCUCUGGGCAGUAACUGACGCUGAGGAGCGAAAGCGUGGGGAGCGAACAGG